rnacentral:rRNA from 1 species
UACGUAGGGGUCGAGCGUUGUCCGGAGUUACUGGGCGUAAAGCGCAUGCAGGCGGCUCAUUACGCAUGGCGUGAAAGCCCCCGGCUCAACCGGGGAGGGUCGUCGUGAACGGGUGAGCUUGAGGGUAUCAGGGGCUGGUGGAAUUCCCGGUGUAGUGGUGAAAUGCGUAGAGAUCGGGAGGAACACCUGUGGCGAAGGCGGCCAGCUGGGAUACACCUGACGCUGAGAUGCGAAGGCGUGGGGAGCGAACGGGAUUAGAUACCCCCGUAGUCCCU